AUUGAACGCUGGCGGCAUGCCUUACACAUGCAAGUCGAACGGCAGCACGGGUGCUUGCACCUGGUGGCGAGUGGCGAACGGGUGAGUAAUACAUCGGAACAUGUCCUGUAGUGGGGGAUAGCCCGGCGAAAGCCGGAUUAAUACCGCAUACGAUCUACGGAUGAAAGCGGGGGACCUUCGGGCCUCGCGCUAUAGGGUUGGCCGAUGGCUGAUUAGCUAGUUGGUGGGGUAAAGGCCUACCAAGGCGACGAUCAGUAGCUGGUCUGAGAGGACGACCAGCCACACUGGGACUGAGACACGGCCCAGACUCCUACAGGAGGCAGCAGUGGGGAAUUUUGGACAAUGGGCGAAAGCCUGAUCCAGCAAUGCCGCGUGUGUGAAGAAGGCCUUCGGGUUGUAAAGCACUUUUGUCCGGAAAGAAAUCCUUGGCUCUAAUACAGUCGGGGGAUGACGGUACCGGAAGAAUAAGCACCGGCUAACUACGUGCCAGCAGCCGCGGUAAUACGUAGGGUGCGAGCGUUAAUCGGAAUUACUGGGCGUAAAGCGUGCGCAGGCGGUUUGCUAAGACCGAUGUGAAAUCCCCGGGCUCAACCUGGGAACUGCAUUGGUGACUGGCAGGCUAGAGUAUGGCAGAGGGGGGUAGAAUUCCACGUGUAGCAGUGAAAUGCGUAGAGAUGUGGAGGAAUACCGAUGGCGAAGGCAGCCCCCUGGGCCAAUACUGACGCUCAUGCACGAAAGCGUGGGGAGCAAACAGGAUUAGAUACCCUGGUAGUCCACGCCCUAAACGAUGUCAACUAGUUGUUGGGGAUUCAUUUCCUUAGUAACGUAGCUAACGCGUGAAGUUGACCGCCUGGGGAGUACGGUCGCAAGAUUAAAACUCAAAGGAAUUGACGGGGACCCGCACAAGCGGUGGAUGAUGUGGAUUAAUUCGAUGCAACGCGAAAAACCUUACCUACCCUUGACAUGGUCGGAAUCCCGCUGAGAGGUGGGAGUGCUCGAAAGAGAACCGGCGCACAGGUGCUGCAUGGCUGUCGUCAGCUCGUGUCGUGAGAUGUUGGGUUAAGUCCCGCAACGAGCGCAACCCUUGUCCUUAGUUGCUACGCAAGAGCACUCUAAGGAGACUGCCGGUGACAAACCGGAGGAAGGUGGGGAUGACGUCAAGUCCUCAUGGCCCUUAUGGGUAGGGCUUCACACGUCAUACAAUGGUCGGAACAGAGGGUUGCCAACCCGCGAGGGGGAGCUAAUCCCAGAAAACCGAUCGUAGUCCGGAUUGCACUCUGCAACUCGAGUGCAUGAAGCUGGAAUCGCUAGUAAUCGCGGAUCAGCAUGCCGCGGUGAAUACGUUCCCGGGUCUUGUACACACC
rnacentral:rRNA from 1 species